rnacentral:miRNA from 14 species
GGCUACAGCACGGUUGUAUCAAU